UACGCAUAUUCCCGUGACUCUUAACUGAUUAGCCAUUCACAGCCAACCACAUGAAACUAAAACCUCAUGUUUCUAACAUGGUAACCAACAUCACAAGAUCAUACAAGUAACUCUGUUCUGUCACUGGCAUCAUCAUCAAUACUCUUACAAAAUGGCUUCAAAAACCUUUCCAUUUGCAGUUCUAGCACAUGGGUGUUUUUCGUCACGCCCACCCACCUUAACUUCUAAUAAUAAGUCCUUUACUCCACAACCCAUCAAGCAUUUACGCUAUCUCUGUGUCAAUCACAGGUUGUCUGCAAAAGAUAAUGGACAUAUGUUGGUUUCCCACUUCUUCAAAUCCUCAACUUGGAGUAUUAGAAGCUUUCAACAGGAGAAUGCAGAGAGUUAUGAAGAUGCUAGAUCUCAAGAUAUUCUGGAUGAACAAGAUAGAUUAACUGAUGAGGUGAUUGGAAAUGAGAAUAAUGGACGUGGUUCAUUCCUGGCUAAAGUGGCAAUUGUGCUGGGCAUAGCUGCAACAGCCACGAUAAUAUCUAUUUGCCUCAAGUGGCCUGUUCUUGGAUCAUCGCUUGGAAUUCAAUUUCUGGCUGAAGGUUCAUCCUCUUCAGUAAUGGCUGCUCCCCCUGUUGGUUUCACUUUCAAAGCUUUUGGAUACAAUGUUGUACUUCCAGAAUAUGCACCAGGAUGGAUCUACUUUUGGUUACUUAUGGCUGCUGGGUGUGGACUUUUCAUUAGUGAAGAGGCUCUAAAUAUUUGGGUUGGCAUAACUUUAGCACGGUUGCUGACUUUGGAUGGGACAUGGCACUCUUUUACUGAAUCUUUCUCGAGAAAUGCUCCGUACAUAAUAUCCAGCAUUCUGUGGGUAUACUGGGGAGUUUGCAUCAGUGAUCUGAUACCAUUUUAUCUGGGGAAGCUUUUCAGGCAAUCAGGGGCAUCUGAUGAUGUUUGUUCGAGGUUAGGGAUUGGCAAAGAGAAGGCCUUAAACAUUACUCACACGGUGCAAAAAUAUCGCAAUUUCUCUGGCUUUGUAGAACGAUUUUCCCUAGGAGUGAGAAAUCCAACAGCUUUCCUAGCAGGGGCCAUGGGUAUUUCUCUAGAGUGCUUCUUUGCUGGAGUCUGUUGUGGUGGCUUGAUCACUCUUCCCCUUCAGUUAGGGAUUGGAUUCUUGUUGAGGGAGCAUCCUGUGGCUGCCCUUGCUACAGUUGCAACAGCAGUGGGAAUUUGGACUGUUUUCCCAUAUGCUGUGGCUGCUUCAACGGCAUUAUUCCUUUUCCUGCAACGCCACUACUCCUCCUAGAGCUCAUAGUUGUCUCUUGAUCAAGUAGCACUCAGAAAGAGAGGAUAGAAGCUAUCAAUUUGUACAUACUGAGAUAUGACUUCUAAUUCACAUUUUGUAGAUCAAUGUAAUAAUUGAAGAACAGUAAGGGACUUAUAUCUUCUUGGGGGCAACAAACACGAUCAACUUACGGGGCAGAAAAUUGACAAAUAUUACUGAGCAUAGAGUACAAGAUGAGCUUCAGUUUACCCAUAAGACCAAAUUGAAUGAGUCUGGAGUUCCUGAGUGGCUCAAUGGUUCUCUACCACAAAUGAGCUCCAAAAGAACAACCCCAAAGCUGUAGACGUCACUUUUCUCGGUCAACUGUUGGGUAGAAUAAUAUCUGCACAUGACAUUCAUUUUGAGCAUCAAAAUCAUCAAGAACCAAUAAAUAUCCUUUCUAUCUUUGGUUUUUUUUUUUUUUUUUUUGAAAACUUACUCAGGAUCUAGAUAGCCAGCAGUGCCCUUGACAACAGUUGUCACAUGAGUUGCAUCUGCCUGGGUUAUCUGUUUAGAGAGGCCAAAGUCACAGACCUUCGCAUUCAUUUCCAUGUCCAAAAGGAUAUUACUGCACUUCA